CAUGUGCACAAAUGGAUAUUUAUUUAUACACUUGCACUUGUCUAUUUCGGGCAACACGUGACGAUACAAAAAUAAGUCUGUCAACGAGAAUGAAUAGAGGGAACGUACGCUUUCUCGUCCUUCUUUUGCAUUCUCAAGUGUUUUCAGAUUUGUAUUUCUGAUCAGCGGCCAAGUUACAAAAAUCCGUUCGUGUGCAUAUGUAUGUAUUUAAGAGAACAAAAAUUCCGGAGGCCCGAGGGAAUUUGAAGGGAAAAAGUUCCGGAAUUAUUCAUGAGUCGUCUGGGAAUCGAACGUCUUUCCCCGUAGGCCUGCCGUUUCGACAGAAAUGACAGGUAGUCACGAUGGAAUUUUAAUGACGGUAAUCCCGAGGAACAUCUGGUCGGGAGUGGUUCAGGCUGGGCUGGCUGGCUGGCGCUCGGUCAGCAGGAUGGUUGACGCGCAAAUGUGCGUUAAAAUCUGGUUCGCGUCAAAUUCGUCUUCGUUCUGUUUGCUUGAACGUCUUCGCUUUCGUCCUAAAAAUCGUCACGUGCCAUUUGUCGACUAGCAUUUCAUGACGUCAGCAAAAGUCAGACAGCAAUUAAUCAAUUGAGUCAUCUGAAUCCGCUAGUGACGUGAUGUUAUCGCCCUCCAACAUCGAAAUUGCGUUGAUAUCUGUUAUCGUAAGAAACCGAAAACUGGUGUCGGAAAUUCGGAAGUUCUGAUUUCGUGUGCGAAUAAUGAAUAGCGCCGGCUACAUAUACUUGAAAGCCUCUGUUCGGCCAAGCAUACGUACGGGGGGGGGAGCAGAAAACCAAGUGCAAAGAACGAGUUGAUUCGUCGGGGCCGGUUAACAGAGGCUGACUAAAAAGACGAAUGCGUCCCUUCUACAUCUGAUCGUUCAUCUCGAACGGGGUGGGGACUAUACAUAUAUUUUAAUGCUUUGGAUGUCGCGCAGAACAGGUCGUAAGCCCAGAAACGGUCGCGCGCAUUCAGGCGUCGUAUUACGAGCGUGCGGACCUGAAACGUGUGGACUCGAUUGUUCCCUUUUCUUACGACUGGACCCCCAAUGAUAGGAGAAAAAUAGAUGAAUAGAGUCUGGCCACCCUCGUCCGGCUUCUCAGCUGAACAAGCCAUUCUGUAAACGUAAACGUCCCUUCCGGACAUGGUUUACAACUCCGCUGUUUACACAAAGAAUGAUUCCUUGCCCUUGGGACUGGAGACCCAACUCUCCUUACAUAACCUGCUGUUACUGUCAGCCGAUUCCUGUUCUAUUAGAUCGACGUAUAAGAUUCAAUUUAAUAAAAAUACAGUCAUCGAAAAUAUUCAACCGUGUGUGUGUCAACCUCGUACAGUUCGAAAAUUUGUAUAAGAAUCGGAUAUUGGGAAAGUUAAGGAUCUCCGAUAUAUGAGACGUUUAUUUUGAAAGUAGCAUAAGUCACUUUUUCAAAAAAAUCAGGUUAAUGGUAACACUAAUUACAA